rnacentral:rRNA from 1 species
UACGGGGGGAGCAAGCGUUGUUCGGAUUUACUGGGCGUAAAGGGCGCGUAGGCGGCCUGUGCAAGUCAGUUGUGAAAUCUCCGAGCUUAACUCGGAACGGUCAACUGAUACUGCUCGGCUAGAGUGCGGAAGGGGCAACUGGAAUUCUUGGUGUAGCGGUGAAAUGCGUAGAUAUCAAGAGGAACACCUGCGGCGAAGGCGGGUUGCUGGGCCGACACUGACGCUGAUGCGCGAAAGCUAGGGGGAGCGAACAGG